rnacentral:lncRNA from 1 species
UGGGCGUGGUGGCGCAUGCCUGUAAUCUCAGCUCCUCGGGAGGCUGAGGGAGGAGAAUCGCUUGAACCGGGAGGCGGAAAUUGCAGUGGGCCGAGAUUGCGCCUCUGCACUCCAGUCUGGGAGACAGAGUGAGACCCUGUCUCAAAAAAAAAAGGAAAAAGAUGUGGCUUAAAGGUGCCUUACAUAUCAGCGGUAUGGCAUAGUUUCAUUGGCAGCCUUUGUUUUCUUUCUUGGGUAACAUAAAACAAUGUAAGUCUAGAAACUUACGAGACCCCCACACCCUCCAGCCUGGAAAUUGCCUAACCCACCAUCUGCUUCCUGGUGACCGACUCUUCCUCACCCCUCCCUGAUUCCUGUUUUCACACACAUGGUUACAUUUCUUCUCUGCUACAUAAACCCCUGAUUUUCGUGGGUCAGGGGAUGGGCUGAGACUGAUCUCCCAUCUCCUGGGCUGCGGCAGGGGAUUAAAGCUUCUUCUCUGGCAAUGCUCCUUGUCUCAGUGACUGGCUUUUUGUGUGGCGAGCAGCAGCACCUAGACAAACCCCUGGUGUUUCUGUAACAUACAUACACACUCAUUUCUCUUCAAUAUAGAACAAGAGAGAAACAUGUGGGUCAAAGGACCUGAAUAUGUUAGGGAAGAGGAGGGAUUUCCAGACAUUUCUGUGCAGUGGUGGCACCAAUUAAUAUGCUCACCAACCGUGCACGGGGGUCCUAACUGCCUCACAUCUACACCCACACGGGGUACAGCCAGCCUUUAAUUUCAGCCAUUCUGCUGGAGCACUGCAGUAUCUCAGCGUGGUUUUCAUUUGAGUUUCCCCGAUGAAGAGUGAGGUUGAGCCCCUUUGCAUACAUGUAUCUGCCACUUGCUAUCUUCUUUUGGGAAGGCUCCCGUAAGUUAUUUUUGAAAUUGGGUUGUCAGUCGGUUUCAUAUUGUGAGUCUGU